UCCGGUGUAGCUCAGCGGUAGAGCAAAUCCCUGUUAAGGAUAAGGUCCCAGGUUCGAAUCCUGGCGCCGGAG
rnacentral:tRNA from 1 species